AGCAGCAGCCACGGUAAAACGAAGGGGGCUAGCGUUGCUCGGAAUGACUGGGCGUAAAGGGCGCGUAGGCGGAUGGCACAGUCAGAUGUGAAAUUCCCGGGCUUAACCUGGGGACUGCAUUUGAUACGUGUUGUCUAGAGUGAGGAAGAGGGUUGUGGAAUUCCCAGUGUAGAGGUGAAAUUCGUAGAUAUUGGGAAGAACACCGGUGGCGAAGGCGGCAACCUGGUCCUUGACUGACGCUGAGGCGCGAAAGCGUGGGGAGCAAACAGGAUUAGAUACCCCCGUAGUCCCUGUCUCUUAUAC
rnacentral:rRNA from 1 species